GUGCUUGCUUCAGCAGCACAUAUGCUAACAUUGGAAUGAUACAGAGAAGAUUAGCAUGGGCCCUGAGCAAGGAUGACACACAGAUUAGUGAAGCAUUCCAUAUUUUA